rnacentral:rRNA from 1 species
AACGAACGCUGGCGGCAGGCUUAACACAUGCAAGUCGAGCGCCCCGCAAGGGGAGCGGCAGACGGGUGAGUAACGCGUGGGAAUCUACCCAUCUCUACGGAGUAACGCAUGGAAACGUGUGCUAAUACCGUAUACGUCCUUCGGGAGAAAGAUUUAUCGGAGAUGGAUGAGCCCGCGUUGGAUUAGCUAGUUGGUGGGGUAAAGGCCUACCAAGGCGACGAUCCAUAGCUGGACUGAGAGGAUGAUCAGCCACACUGGGACUGAGACACGGCCGAGAGUCCUAAGGGAUGCAGCAGUGGGGAAUAUUGGACAAUGGGCGCAAGCCUGAUCCAGCCAUGCCGCGUGAGUCAUGAAGGCCCUAGGGUUGUAAAGCUCUUUCACCGGUGAAGAUAAUGACGGUAACCGGAGAAGAAGCGCCGGCUAACUUCGUGCCAGCCGCCGCGGUAACAC